rnacentral:rRNA from 1 species
UGGGGAAUAUUGGACAAUGGGGGAAACCCUGAUCCAGCAAUGCCGCGUGUGUGAAGAAGGCCUGAGGGUUGUAAAGCACUUUGAUGGGGGAAGAAGGCUUUCCGGUUAAUACCUGGGAGGAUUGACACUACCCCAAGAACAAGCACCGGCUAACUCUGUGCCAGCAGCCGCGGUAAUACAGAGGGUGCAAGCGUUAAUCGGAAUAACUGGGCGUAAAGGGUGCGUAGGUGGUUACUUAAGUUGGAUGUGAAAUCCCCGGGCUUAACCUGGGAACUGCAUUCAAUACUGGGUAGCUUGAGUAGAAUAGAGGGGAGUGGAAUUUCCGGUGUAGCGGUGGAAUGCGUAGAUAUCGGAAGGAACACCAGUGGCGAAGGCGGCUCUCUGGAUUCAUACUGACACUGAGGCACGAAAGCGUGGGGAGCAAACAGG